GCUUACGGCCACACCGCUGGUUCACGCCCGAUCUCGUUUGAUCUCGGAAGCUAAGAUAGGUUGGGCUCGGUUAAGUACUUGGAUGGGAGACGCCUGGGAAUUACCAGGUGCUGUAAACU
rnacentral:rRNA from 1 species